UUGAAGAGUUUGAUCAUGGCUCAGAUUGAACGCUGGCGGCAGGCCUAACACAUGCAAGUCGAACGGUAACAGAAAGAAGCUUGCUUCUUUGCUGACGAGUGGCGGACGGGUGAGUAAUGUCUGGGAAACUGCCUGAUGGAGGGGGAUAACUACUGGAAACGGUAGCUAAUACCGCAUAACGUCGCAAGACCAAAGAGGGGGACCUUCGGGCCUCUUGCCAUCGGAUGUGCCCAGAUGGGAUUAGCUUGUUGGUGGGGUAACGGCUCACCAAGGCGACGAUCCCUAGCUGGUCUGAGAGGAUGACCAGCCACACUGGAACUGAGACACGGUCCAGACUCCUACGGGAGGCAGCAGUGGGGAAUAUUGCACAAUGGGCGCAAGCCUGAUGCAGCCAUGCCGCGUGUAUGAAGAAGGCCUUCGGGUUGUAAAGUACUUUCAGCGGGGAGGAAGGGAGUAAAGUUAAUACCUUUGCUCAUUGACGUUACCCGCAGAAGAAGCACCGGCUAACUCCGUGCCAGCAGCCGCGGUAAUACGGAGGGUGCAAGCGUUAAUCGGAAUUACUGGGCGUAAAGCGCACGCAGGCGGUUUGUUAAGUCAGAUGUGAAAUCCCCGGGCUCAACCUGGGAACUGCAUCUGAUACUGGCAAGCUUGAGUCUCGUAGAGGGGGGUAGAAUUCCAGGUGUAGCGGUGAAAUGCGUAGAGAUCUGGAGGAAUACCGGUGGCGAAGGCGGCCCCCUGGACGAAGACUGACGCUCAGGUGCGAAAGCGUGGGGAGCAAACAGGAUUAGAUACCCUGGUAGUCCACGCCGUAAACGAUGUCGACUUGGAGGUUGUGCCCUUGAGGCGUGGCUUCCGGAGCUAACGCGUUAAGUCGACCGCCUGGGGAGUACGGCCGCAAGGUUAAAACUCAAAUGAAUUGACGGGGGCCCGCACAAGCGGUGGAGCAUGUGGUUUAAUUCGAUGCAACGCGAAGAACCUUACCUGGUCUUGACAUCCACAGAACUUUCCAGAGAUGGAUUGGUGCCUUCGGGAACUGUGAGACAGGUGCUGCAUGGCUGUCGUCAGCUCGUGUUGUGAAAUGUUGGGUUAAGUCCCGCAACGAGCGCAACCCUUAUCCUUUGUUGCCAGCGGUCCGGCCGGGAACUCAAAGGAGACUGCCAGUGAUAAACUGGAGGAAGGUGGGGAUGACGUCAAGUCAUCAUGGCCCUUACGACCAGGGCUACACACGUGCUACAAUGGCGCAUACAAAGAGAAGCGACCUCGCGAGAGCAAGCGGACCUCAUAAAGUGCGUCGUAGUCCGGAUUGGAGUCUGCAACUCGACUCCAUGAAGUCGGAAUCGCUAGUAAUCGUGGAUCAGAAUGCCACGGUGAAUACGUUCCCGGGCCUUGUACACACCGCCCGUCACACCAUGGGAGUGGGUUGCAAAAGAAGUAGGUAGCUUAACCUUCGGGAGGGCGCUUACCACUUUGUGAUUCAUGACUGGGGUGAAGUCGUAACAAGGUAACCGUAGGGGAACCUGCGGUUGGAUCACCUCCUU
rnacentral:rRNA from 1 species